ACACCUUUGCUCUUGGCUUCUGGGCUUCAAGGAGAAGCAACUCCAUCCCCCGGAGGAGGAGGAGGAGGAGGAGGAA
rnacentral:miRNA from 11 species